ensembl:lncRNA
CAUCAGUGUAAACAUCCUCUCUGACGUCGCAAUGUUAAGACUUCUGUUGCCUUGGUCCCAUCUCAUUCUGACCCUGGGCUCAUUGGCCCUUACAAUUUAAUCUGAACAAUGGAACCAGAGACAUCAGCACUGUCCAGGCUCUCUGAUGAUCUUCAUCCUUCGCCAGCGGCAAUUCAUGAAAUAAAUACAGAGUUUUCUGAGGAAAGUACAAUAUACUCAGACCUCAAAGUUCAUUGUUCUUCAAAUAUCCAGAACGGAAAAAUAACUAAAACUUCGAAAACAAAAGUGUCUCCGUGGUGCAUUGCUGCUGUGAUAUUUGCCUUCCUUUAUAUAAUCACUCUGGUAAUAGUUGCAGCUAUGGUAGCUAAGAUUCAUUGUCUUGAGGAGAUCCUGCACGAGGCAGCCACUGAGACUGCACAUUGCAACAUAAUAUCACAAAACAAAGGUAAUUGGUCUUCCUCCGAAGAAAACUGACAUUUUAUAUCUACUGAAAAUAAAAUCUUGGCAUCAAAGAAAUUUGUUCUGAAGCAUUGAGCUCCAGUCCCACCAAGGCAAAUAAUGAAGAAUUGGAAGUGUUUCGUGUGAUAUUCAUUCUUAUAUUUUCUUACACAUCAUAUAAUUAUAAAUAGAGAAUUUUUAACAUCUUGUGUUCAUUUAAGCAUGCUAAACUCAACAUUUUAUAAAUUGGAGACAUCUCAAUCAAACUCAAAAGAUCAAAAUAUGACCUUAAAAUGGUUUUAGAUUUUAAAUAUAUUUGCAUACAGAAGUAAAUGCAAAUAUAAGAAAUUUCAAAUGUUGGCUAAUAAUGGGGGAAGAAAUCACAUAGACAUAGAAACUAAAGGGAAUCUGGUCACAAGUGGCACCUAAAAAAGAGCUAAUAUUUGUUGAUUGCUUCAAAUAUUCCUGGUACUACAUCAAUGAUUGUGGGCAUUAACUCAUGUAUUUUCCCAGUAAUCUUAUGAUACAAGUAUUAUCAUUGCCAUUGUUGUAUUAAUAAGAAAACCAAGACCCAGAGGGAAUGAUAGUUUUUUUCUGGGUAUCAGAAAUAGUAAGAAUUAGAUGCUUAAACUAUGAUUUAAGCUAAAAGAGUCUAACUCUAAAGAUCAGGAACAUAGCCAUUAUGCUAUGCUGACCCCAGAACAAAAAAUCUUAAUGAAUCAAAUUGUAAGAAUAUUGCUUCUUUGUAAAUAGUCAGAGCUGCUUAUACAAGCAGAUUUACAUUUUUCCACCCUGGAUAUAUCUUCUAAAGAGGAACAGUGAGAAAAAGAAUAGGAGCUCUUCAUAAGGACUAUUUUGAUACGAAUUGUUGUUUGGAAUGUGAAUAAAAGACAUUAACAGCAGUAAUGUUUCCCCCCAGUAGAUCCUAGCAAGCCAAAAGAAUAUAGAUGUCUUUUAUAUUUUUGUUCUCCUCUACUAUGUGACUAUUACCUCUAUAUUAUUUCUUCUUUUUCAUUGUAUUGAAGUUCUGUUAUUGCCUUUAAUGAAGACUUCAAUGCAGAUCAAUGACGAUAAAUUUAGGGCAUAUAUGCUGAAAAUUUCCAUACAGUAUUCUUAGAAGGCUCUGUUCAUAAUAUCCUUCCCUAUGAAAUGCAAUAUCAUAAUUGCAACCCUUCAUAAUUGCAAAAAAAAGUGAGCGUAGACCUCACUUUGAAUAACUUUCAACAGAGCAUACCAGAAAGUCUCCUCCAAUUGAAUUACUCUCAUCUCAUCUACAUAUGGUGCUUCAAAGUGAACUUGUAUAUACACAUCAGCAAUGAGCUCUUUCAGCAAAAGCAAGCAAAAACUGCACACAAAGAGCAAUGAAUUUGCUAAGGCAAUCGCUCCUAUGGUCUAUUACCUCAACAUUUGUUUUUUUGUUUUGUUUUGUUUUUUGAGACGGAGUCUCGCUCUGUUGCCCAGGCUGGAGGGCAGUGGCGUGAUCUCGGCUCACUGCAAGCUCCGCCUCCCGGGUUCACGCCAUUCUCCUGCCUCAGCCUCCCGAGUAGCUGGGACUACAGGCGCCCGCCACCUCGCCCGGCUAAUUUUUCUGUAUUUUUUAGUAGAGACGGGGUUUCACCAUUUUAGCCAGGAAGGUCUUGAUCUCCUGACCUCCUGAUCCGCCCGCCUUGGCCUUCUGAAGUGCUGGGAUUACAGGCGUGAGCCACCGCGCCAGGCCCAAAAUUUGUUUUUAUAAAUCACAAUUUCCCCAUAACCUAGAGUAGAAGAGAUAAUAUCUGAAUUUUUCACAACUGAUACAAAAUAUCAAACUAUAUAUUAUCAAAGGCUUAUGAACUCCAGUAGGGCGAAUAAAAUGACAAGUUAGGUGUAUCAUAUAUAACUGUUGAAAAAAAAGACAAACAGAAACUUAAAGAUAGGAAGAGAAGCAAAGUUUACUUUCAAAGGAGCAACAAUUAUAAUGGCAGCUAACCUAUAAAAAGGAAAAAAAAAUGAAGGCUAUAAGAUUACUGAUUGACAACUGCCAUAGUAAAACUCUAUUCUCAGAGACAACUAUCUAAUCAAAUGUGAAUGAUAUGAGCAUCUAAUUAUACUCCAUAGGUAAAAGAAAGAUCAUUUAAGUAGAACAAAAACAAUGUAUUACCUUUAUAUCUGUAUUAAGAAAGUACACUAGAAGAAUAUCCUUUUUUUUUUUUUUUUUUUUUUUUUUUUUUUUUUUGGAGAUGGAUUCUCACUCUGUGGCCCAGGCUAGAGCACAGUAGCAUGAACUCAGCUCACUGCAGCCUCCGCCUCCUGGGUUCAAGCAAUUCUCCUGCCUCAGCCUCCCAAAUAUCGGGGAUUACAGGCACAUCCCUGCAUACAAUGAAUUUUUGUAUUUCUAGUGAAGACCAAGUUUCACCAUGUUGGCUAGGCUGGUCUCAAACUCCUAACUUCAGGUGAUUCGUGAGAGCUGGGAUUACAGGCGUGAGCCACCGAGCCUGGCCCAGAAUAUUCUUUUGGUUAGAAUGAUCUCAGAUGAGACCUCAAAGACUCUGGAUAAAAGACAAUGAAAUAG